rnacentral:rRNA from 1 species
UACGUAGGUGGCAAGCGUUGUCCGGAAUUAUUGGGCGUAAAGCGCGCGCAGGUGGUUUCUUAAGUCUGAUGUGAAAGCCCACGGCUCAACCGUGGAGGGUCAUUGGAAACUGGGGAACUUGAGUGCAGAAGAGGAAAGUGGAAUUCCAAGUGUAGCGGUGAAAUGCGUAGAGAUUUGGAGGAACACCAGUGGCGAAGGCGACUUUCUGGUCUGUAACUGACACUGAGGCGCGAAAGCCAGGGGAGCAAACGGG